GAUGAACGCUGGCGGCGUGCCUAAUACAUGCAAGUCGAGCGAACAGACGAGGAUCUUGCUCCUCUGACGUUAGCGGCGGACGGGAGAGUAACACGUGUAUAACCUACUUGUCAUUCUGGGAUAACUUCGGGAAACCGGAUCUAAUACCGGAUAAUAUCUUGAACCGUAUGGUUCAAUGGUGAUAGACGGCGUUGCUGUCACUUAUAGAUGGAUCCGCGCCGCAUUAGCUAGUUGGUAAGGUACCGGCUUACCAAGGCAACGAUGCGUACCCGACCUGAGAGGGUGCUCGCCGACACUGGAGCUGAGCCACGGUCCAGACUCCUACGGGAGGCAGCAGUAGCGAAUCUUCCGCAACGGGCGAGAGCUUGACGCAGCAACGCCACGUGAGUGAUAACGGUCCUGCGUUCGCAACACUCUGUUAUUAGGGAUGAACAAAUUUGUAAGUAACUAUACCCGUCUUGACGGUACCUAAUCAGGAAGCACCGGCUAACUACGUG
rnacentral:rRNA from 1 species